rnacentral:rRNA from 1 species
GAUGAACGCUGGCGGCAGGCUUAAUACAUGCAAGUUGAACGGUAACAUGUUGUAGCAAUACGAUGAUGACGAGUGGCGCACGGGUGCGUAACACGUGUGUAACCUACCUUAUACAGGAACAUAACGUUGAGAAAUCGGCGCUAAUAUUCCAUAAUAUUAUUUAUAGGCAUCUAUAGAUAAUUAAAACCCCGGUGGUAUAAGAUGGGCACGCGUUCCAUUAGCUAGUUGGUAAGGUAACGGCUUACCAAGGCCACGAUGGAUAGGGGUUCUGAGAGGAUACACCCCCACACUGGAACUGAGACACGGUCCAGACUCCUACGGGAGGCAGCAGUAAGGAAUAUUGGGCAAUGGAGGCAACUCUGACCCAGCCAUGCCGCGUGCAGGAAGACGGCCCUACGGGUUGUAAACUGCUUUUAAUAGGGAGUAAAAUCAGCUACGUGUAGUUGAUUGCAAGUACCUAUAGAAUAAGCAUCGGCUAACUCCGUG